ACAAUGUUAAGGCAUUGAACGCCGAUGCGGCCUUGAAUUCUCAUAUAAAAAGACUAUGUUUGCGAUAGCAUUUUCAUCCCGCAGUUGUCCUGCUAUUCGCCACAAUGACAUCCAAACUUAUUGUAUGCCUGUUGCUAUUAACGGCACUGGCAACCAUUUCGGCUGCACCAGCGAGGCGUGAUUGUGGAACCACGGGUUGUAACGCUCUGUGCGGCCUUUUGAAUCAUCCUGGCGGUCACUGCACUAACGGAGUUUGCUACUGCAACGACGGGAGUUUAUUUGGGUAUAUCUCCUUUAUAUAUCUCGUACUUCUGAUUAUUAAACCCAUACACCUAUUCCUAUGUAUAUUUUAAUAUAAUCGCGUAUAUGCAAUCGUUUAAUCGUUUUUCUUACACGUAAUUAAAAGCAUUUACUUUUAGUUAAACAAAUUAACGUUGCUGAAAAUUCAACUUUUCAAUCAAUUGUUCGACAAUACUUUUAAUCUACUUUCCUUUUGUCCUUGAUAAUAAAUAACAAGAAUAUCGGUGGCACUGAUGGAUUCUCCCCGAUGAUACCCCAUGUCAAUUUAUAGGUUAAUUGUUAUUAUUAAAUGGGAAAUAAUUCCCUGAAAAGUCACUACAGGGAAACGACGAGUAAAUAUGUUCAUAUGUAUCGUGUGGGAAUACUGCACAUACAUUUUCAUCACAUUCGGAUCAUUAAUUUCUUUGAUCUGACGCACAAACGUUUAACUCAUUAGAAAAUGUCAAAUUAUUGUCCUUUAGGGGCAAUAACUCCCCGAAAAAUUAUUGGAGCGGAACAACCUUAUGAGAUAUGCAUGUCAACCCAAUACGGAUGCUGACAAUGAAGAGUCAUAAGAUUCGGAUCAUUCGAUCCGUUAAUAAACGCGGAAAGAA